rnacentral:rRNA from 1 species
AUGCUCUCCGUCUCCCACCCCCACCCGGCGGCCUCUACCGGCCCGCGCCACCGCAAGCCCCUCUCCACCGCCCACCACCGCCGGCGUCGAUGCACCUACACCAUCGCCGCACUCAUCCUCCCCGGAGGCGGUGGACCCCGGGGCAGCCCCCCGAACGGCGGCAAGCUCAUCCUCCCCGGCAGCGGCGGAGGCGGCGGGGGCCGCGGAGGGGGAGGCGGCGGUGGAAUGCUCCCCCGCACCCCUCCACCGACGGCCCCGCCGGGCCAGCUGUACCAGCCCUUCCACCCGCCGCCUAACCCCCUGCCCGAGACUUACCGCAACCUCGACCUCACUGAGCGCCUCGCCGUGCUCCGCGACCGCAUGGGCCGCUGGUACGAGUACGCGCCCCUCAUCUCCUCUCUCUCCCGCGAGGGCUUCACCCCGGCCUCCAUCGAGGAGGCCACCGGCAUGUCCGGCGUCGAGCAAAACCGCCUCGUCGUCGCCUCCCAGGUCCGCGACUCCCUCAUCUCCGACGACUUCCCCGACGAUCUCCUACACUACUUCGACUCCUACGGCGGGCCCGACCUCCUGUACGAGCUCCGCUUCCUCAACGCCCGCCAGCGCAUCGUCGCCACCAAGCACACCAUCGAGAGGCGCCUCGAGUCCAAGGGCGUGCGCGAGCUCGCGCGCUCUAUGAAGGACUUCCCGCAGCGCCGCGGCGACGAAGGAUGGGACGCCUUCGACAGGCACUCCGCCGGCGACUGCCUCGCGUACGCGCGCUUCCGGCUGUCGCGGGAGGCCAUCGCCAACGAGGACCGCAUCCCCGAGCUGGAGCGCUCGCUCGACGUGGUCGAGACCGAGUCGGCCAGGGCGCGGGUGGAGCUCGAGAUUGAGAGGGCCAUCAAGAAGGCCGCCGGAGAGGAGGUGGAGGAGCUCGAGGCCGAAAUCGACGCACGGCCCGCGGUGCCGGUGGUGCGGCUCAUGUACGGCGAGAUCUCCGAGGCGUCCAUCGUGCUGCUGCUGCCGGUUGUAAAAGAAACAGACGGCGUCAAGGCCGUGGACCUCGCGCCGAGGAGGAGCCAGACGGACGCGGACCUCGGCAUCGUGGAGGUGGACAAGGGGUGGGCGCGCUGGGCGGUGCUGCCGGGCUGGGCCCCAGUCAUGGCGGUGGCCGACGAGGCGGUGGUGAUCGAGUUGGCGGACGGGCGGGUGCUGCCGUGGCGGUCGGCGGAGAACGAGAGAGUGCUGGUGGUGGCCGACCGGAAACGGAAGGAGGUGGUGGACGAGGGGAUAUACGUGCUGGAGAAGGGAGGGAAGCUGGUGGUGGAGAGGGGCAAGAAGUUGUUGGAGGAAGGCAUUAGCCAGGCCGCCGCGGAGGUGGUGACCGUCGUCCGGCCACCCAAAGACGAGGAAGACAUCAUCGUCGGCGACGAGUGGGACUAA